rnacentral:tRNA from 1 species
GGGCCCGUAGCUCAACGGUAGAGCAGUAGCCUUUUAAGCUAUUGGUUGACAGUCCGAAUCUGUCCGGGCUCA